CAGUCUAGAGAUGAGCCAGGACAUACAUCCGAACUAUUUCAUAAAUUUGAUGAUAAAAAGACAACCUCUUUCUUAAAAGGUUCAGAGUUUUAAAAUGGGUCAAACAAUCUGCCACGCAGUUUGCAUACAACCUUCAACUCUCUUUUCUUCCCUAAGACUACUCCCACAACUAAAAAUCCAAAGAGAACAGAAAAUUUAGAAGCACUACUAGAUGUAUGUCCUGGCUCAUCUCUAGACUGAUUUGUCUGCAAAAAGUGCUUCAUCUCUACAGCUCAUCAUGUA
rnacentral:misc_RNA from 1 species